rnacentral:rRNA from 1 species
AGCGAACGCUGGCGGCAGGCUUAACACAUGCAAGUCGAGCGGGCAUCCUUGUGGUGUCAGCGGCAGACGGGUGAGUAACGCGUGGGAACGUGCCCUUCGGUUCGGAAUAACUCAGGGAAACUUGAGCUAAUACCGGAUACGUGCGAGAGCAGAAAGGUUUAUCUGCCGAAGGAUCGGCCCACGUCUGAUUAGCUAGUUGGUGAGGUUAUGGCUCACCAAGGCGACGAUCAGUAGCUGGUCUGAGAGGAUGAUCAGCCACACUGGGACUGAGACACGGCCCAGACUCCUACGGGAGGCAGCAGUGGGGAAUAUUGGACAAUGGGGGCAACCCUGAUCCAGCCAUGCCGCGUGAGUGAUGACGGCCUUAGGGUUGUAAAGCUCUUUUCUUCGGGACGAUAAUGACGGUACCGGAGGAAUAAGCCCCGGCUAACUUCGUG